rnacentral:rRNA from 1 species
CCUACGGGUGGCAGCAGUGGGGGAUAUUGGACAAUGGGGGGAACCCUGAUCCAGCGACGCCGCGUGAGUGAAGAAGUAUUUCGGUAUGUAAAGCUCUGUCAGCAGGGAAGAAAGAAAUGACGGUACCUGACCAAGAAGCCCCGGCUAACUACGUGCCAGCAGCCGCGGUAAUACGUAGGGGGCAAGCGUUAUCCGGAAUUACUGGGUGUAAAGGGAGCGUAGGCGGUUCAGCAAGUCAGAAGUGAAAGCCCGGGGCUCAACUCCGGGACUGCUUUUGAAACUGUUGAACUAGAUUGCAGGAGAGGUAAGUGGAAUUCCUAGUGUAGCGGUGAAAUGCGUAGAUAUUAGGAGGAACACCAGUGGCGAAGGCGGCUUACUGGACUGUAAAUGACGCUGAGGCUCGAAAGCGUGGGGAGCAAACAGGAUUAGAUACCCCAGUAGUC